rnacentral:rRNA from 1 species
GUGUCAGCCGCCGCGGUAAGACGGAGGAGGCAAGCGUUAUCCGGAAUUAUUGGGCGUAAAGCGUCCGCAGGCGGCUAAUUAAGUCUGUUGUCAAAGGUCACAGCUCAACUGUGGAUCGGCAAUGGAAACUGGUUGGCUAGAGUGUGGUAGGGGUAGAGGGAAUUCCCGGUGUAGCGGUGAAAUGCGUAGAUAUCGGGAAGAACACCAGUGGCGAAGGCGCUCUACUGGGCCACAACUGACGCUGAGGGACGAAAGCUAGGGGAGCGAAAGGGAUUAGAUACCCUUGUAGUCC